GGCUCAGGACGAACGCUGGCGGCGUGCCUAAUACAUGCAAGUCGAGCGGACUUGAAGGAGUGCUUGCACUCCUGAGAGUUAGCGGCGGACGGGUGAGUAACACGUAGGCAACCUGCCCUCAAGACUGGGAUAACUACCGGAAACGGUAGCUAAUACCGGAUAAUUUAUUACAUAGCAUUAUGUGAUAAUGAAAGACGGAGCAAUCUGUCACUUGGGGAUGGGCCUGCGGCGCAUUAGCUAGUUGGUGGGGUAACGGCCCACCAAGGCGACGAUGCGUAGCCGACCUGAGAGGGUGAACGGCCACACUGGGACUGAGACACGGCCCAGACUCCUACGGGAGGCAGCAGUAGGGAAUCUUCCGCAAUGGGCGAAAGCCUGACGGAGCAACGCCGCGUGAGUGAUGAAGGUUUUCGGAUCGUAAAGCUCUGUUGCCAAGGAAGAACGUCUCAUAGAG
rnacentral:rRNA from 1 species